rnacentral:rRNA from 1 species
AACACGUAUGCAAUUUGCCCAUAACUGGGAGAUAACCCUCUGAAAGGAGGACUAAUAUCCCAUAAUCCAACGAGGUGGCAUCACUUUGUUGGUAAAGCUCCGGCGGUUAUGGAUAAGCAUGCGUCUGAUUAGCUAGUUGGCGAGGUAACGGCUCACCAAGGCAACGAUCAGUAGGGGGUCUGAGAGGAUGAUCCCCCACACGGGUACUGAGACACGGACCCGACUCCUACGGGAGGCAGCAGUAAGGAAUAUUGGACAAUGGAGGCAACUCUGAUCCAGCCAUGCCGCGUGAAGGAUGAAGGCGCUACGCGUUGUAAACUUCUUUUCUACUAGAAAAAACAUUUGGUUUCGUACCGAAUCUGAUUGUAUAGUGGGAAUAAGCAUCGGCUAACUUCGUGCCAGCAGCCGCGGUAAUACGAAGGAUGCAAGCGUUAUCCGGAUUUACUGGGUUUAAAGGGUGUGCAGGUGGGAUAAUAAGUCAGUGGUGAAAUCCCCCGACUCAAUCGGGGAACUGCCAUCGAUACUGUUAUUCUUGAGUGUAGUUGAGGUGGGCGGAAUAUGACAUGUAGCGGUGAAAUGCGUAGAUAUGUCAUAG